rnacentral:rRNA from 1 species
ACUGACGCUGAUGCACGAAAGCGUGGGGAUCGUACAGGAUUAGAUACCCUGGUAGUCCACGCCGUAAACGAUGAUCACUCGCUGUUGGCAAUAUAGAGUCAGCGGCUGAGCGUAAGCAUUAAGUGAUCCACCUGGUGAGUACGUCGGCAACGAUGAUACUCAAAGGAAUUGACGGGGUCCCGCACAAUCGGUGGAACAUGUGGUUUAAUUCGAUGAUACGCGAGGAACCUUACCUGGGCUUAAAUGUAGCCGGACGAUUCCGGAAGCGGGAUUUCCUUAACGGCUGGUUACAAGGUGCUGCAUGGCUGUCGUCAGCUCGUGCCGUGAGGUGUCGGGUUAAGUCCCAUAACGAGCGCAACCCUUAUUCUUAGUUGCCAGCGGGUAGAGCCGGGGACUCUAAGGAGACUGCCACCGUAACGGCGUGAGGAAGGUGGGGAUGACGUCAAGUCAGCACGGCCAUUACGUCCAGGGCUACACACGUGCUACAAUGGCCGGUACAGAAGGCAGCAUACUUGAGAGAGGGCGCGAAUCCAUGAAAGCCGGUCUCAGUUCGGAUUGGAGUCUGCAACCCGACUUCAUGAAGUUGGAAUCGCUAGUAAUCGCGCAUCACCAAUGGCGCGGUGAUACGUUCCCGGGCAUGUACACACCGCCCGUCAAGCCAUGGAAGCCGGGG